GCAGAGGCAGUAGAGGAGCAGGUCCGCCGGCGUGCGAGCGCGACAGGCACGCGUGCCGCCGUGGGCGAUUUUGGGGGAGAAGAGAACCGCGGGGCCGGUAGCGAGUGAUGCUUGGUGGGACGCGAUCGCGGCGACCCCUGCUGUGCUGGGUCAGCUGCUGGUCGCCGAGAUUUCGCCCUGCGGGGUGUUCGUGACACUGUAGCCGCGUGGGAUAUUUCUGGGUAGCGACAGAGUGACUGGGGUACUCGGGUCCGGCUGCCUUGGCCGUAGUAACCCCCGGCCCGGCCGGAUCUCGCCGGUUGCUCAGGACAUGUUGGAUGCCUGAGCGUUUAUGGCCAUGUGCAGUGUGGUAGAACCUGUUUAGGAGAGUGCUUGUGUCGAUCGAACCUAACUGAGUUUGGAGUCGGAGAUGAAUUUCGCGCAUACGAUUUUCCAAGUAAUUUGUGCUUUAUUUUUCCAAACUUACCUAUCUAGUAAGCUGUAGAAAAGUAGAAAUCAGCCCGAUGCUGAUAUUACAAGCGACCGUAACUUUCUAAAUUUCCGGUCGAUGGCGACGCGCCCCGCGCCCACGUGCGAUUUUCUUCCCGCGUGGUCUCCCCCCAGCUGAUAUCGUUUUUUUUUUCUUCCGGUGCCUCCCCCUCUUCGUUUUCAUGCCCAUCCUCUCUUCCCUCAUUCCCCUUCCUGCCUCCUCGUAUUCUUCACCUGGACCACGCGCCGCCGCCCCCACCCGGGUCUCCUUCCCCCCUUCCAUGAUCCUAUCGGCGGUGUUCCGAUUCGAUUCGGCGUUGAAGUGUAGCAGGCACCAUGGAUAGUUCCAGUUCAAGUGACCAGAAUGCGCAAAGCAGCAAAGAUAAAAAUGCAGAAAGUAAUUCUAAGGAUGGCCCAAGCAUCAAUGAAUCUGAUGAUAGUGCUUUGUCGCCGCGAAGCAAGCUCAAGGACUGCACUAAAUUCAGCACUCAGUUCUCUCUUGCCAAGAUGGUUAAAUUGAUUGAAAAGUUAUCUCCUCGCCAAAGAGAUAGUGUUAUCAAGUGUGGUUUUGGCUCAAUUCUGGCUCUCAAGUGUACAUCAAUUCCAAAUUCACUAAUCUUAUGGACUGCAAAGAACUAUGAUCCAAAAUCUAGACACUUCAAGGCAGCUGGUGGGACCGUGGGAGUUCUUUCAAAAUUGAUGCAAUCGCUGUGCACCAAAUUCUUGGUAUUCCAUAUGGAGGAAAACAAGUGCCCAAUAAAUCAUCCAGCUAUGCCAAAAUGUCAUCCUCAAAGAUACAAAUCAACAGAGUCAAGCUGCAAAGAUUGAUGCUUUAGUUGAUAUGAUAACUCCAGAGCUGGUCGGUGAUAAGUUUGCAAGGAUUUUUUUUCUCAUUGUUCUUGGCAUUUUCUUGUGCCCAAAAAGCAGUCCUACUGUUAGUCACCAGUUUUACGAGAGCAUAUGCAGAGUUAGAGAAAUCAACUCAUAUGAUUGGUGCACUGCUGUAUCCGGUGUCUUCAUCUUGGGUUAAUGAACUUCCAGACAAAUGCUCGGAAAGGGAAUACUAGAGGCAAAGCAGCACUUGGUGGUUGUCUUUUCCUACUUGCAAUGAGUUCUAUAUAUUUACAUUCUUAGCCUUUUUUUUCUACUUCGCGAGCAUAUUUUUCAUCUAGCCUUUUUCGUUUUUCGUUGUCUUACUUAUGUUAAUAUACAGGCAAUAUAUUUGAUUAUCUUGUCUUGGAUUCCGCCUUUUUGGAACCAACUCUGCCGCGUAUACGCGUAUGGGAUGACAAUGCAAUCAGCAGCAAUAGUGGAGCUGAGUUAGGCAUCCAAAAUAUUGAGUUUAAGCCCAUGGAGGAGACACUUUUUUAAUAAGCAUCAACCCUUGCGUCAAUUCGUGGAUUUGACAUCACUGGUUGGGAUCAGCCUCCCAUCAAGUCAACAUCCCACGCUCCCUGCAAUGCUACCAACAAUCAACCUGAGGGACAAAAGGUUUGAAGUAAUAUGCCCUUUCAAAGAUACAGCACUAGUCGAAAAUGAUUCCCUCAGUGCCAUAGCAAAAUUCAGAAAGGUGUUCAAAGCAGUACAUUCCAGAUCAACAAGGAUUGACAUAUAUGACAUGCCAACAGUUAUUGGAAGUGUCUCAAAUCAGACGAAUCAGAACGACAGUGGUGUUUUUAUUCUUCAGUUACUUCUUGCUUACAAUGGAAAGACACAUUUCCAUUUUACUCAGGGAAUAAAGUUGGAGGACUACACAGCAAGGAUCAAAAGG